GUGCUCGCUUCAGCAGCACAUACACUAAAAUUGGAACAAUACAGAGAUUAGCAUGGCCCAUGCGCAAGGAUGACACGCAAAUUCGUGAAGCAUUUCAUAUUAAA
ensembl:snRNA U6 U6 spliceosomal RNA